ACGCUCGACACCUACGGGAGGCAGCAGUGGGGGAUAUUGCACAAUGGGGGAAACCCUGAUGCAGCGACGCCGCGUGAAGGAAGAAGGCCUUCGGUUGUAAACUUCUGUCGUACGGGACGAUAGUGACGGUACCGUACAAGAAAGCCACGGCUAACUACGUGUCAGCAGCCGCGGUAAUCUGAGCGGGCUGGCAAGGC
rnacentral:rRNA from 1 species